CAAUGAUUCAAGAUUUCUUUUUGAUCGGGCGGUUAAUAGACAAUUGAGACUGUGUCGCGUUGUCGAGGCGCAACUCCAACACGUGGGUCGAUCAGCUGAGUUGCUACGCUCACUCGAAACUUUUUAAUGUGAUCAGCAUCGAUCUAAUGAAGAAGGACCAAUCAUACCAUAAGCUAAUGGAGAAAACAAAUAAAAACUGUAAAUAAAUAAAUUAAUUAAUAAAUAUAUUCAUAUGUAUAUAUAUAUAUAUAUGUGUGUGUGUGUGUGUAUGUAUAUUCAUUAUUUAAUUGCAUUUUUAUAUUUACCUAUAUGUGAUACUUGAAAUAACAAUAGCCAUUAUUGUAUGAUAUAUAACAUAUCCAAAUUUGUUUGGAAAUAAAAUAAUUAAACUUUCAAGAAUAUAAUUUAAAGUUGUUCCACUUAACAUUGAACUAUAUAAUAGAGCUGGGAAAUAAUGAUGAAAAUACAAAACUCUAGUCAUUGCCCAAAAUGGUGCAUAAUGCAAUAUCCAACCAAUAAAAAGCCAUUUUCCUGCAUUUAA